UAGGGAAUCUUCCACAAUGGGCGAAAGCCUGAUGGAGCAACGCCGCGUGAGUGAAGAAGGGUUUCGGCUCGUAAAACUCUGUUGUUAAAGAAGAACAUAUCUGAGAGUAACUGUUCAGGUAUUGACGGUAUUUAACCAGAAAGCCACGGCUAACUACGUGCCAA
rnacentral:rRNA from 1 species